AGCGAUGAAGCCCAGCUUGCUGGGUGGAUUAGUGGCGAACGGGUGAGUAACGCGUGAGUAACCUGCCCCCGACUCUGGGAUAAGCCCGGGAAACUGGGUCUAAUACCGGAUAUUACCUUUGACCGCAUGGUUGUUGGUGGAAAGAUUUAUCGGUGGGGGAUGGACUCGCGGCCUAUCAGCUUGUUGGUGAGGUAAUGGCUCACCAAGGCGACGACGGGUAGCCGGCCUGAGAGGGUGACCGGCCACACUGGGACUGAGACACGGCCCAGACUCCUACGGGAGGCAGCAGUGGGGAAUAUUGCACAAUGGGCGAAAGCCUGAUGCAGCGACGCCGCGUGAGGGAUGACGGCCUUCGGGUUGUAAACCUCUUUCAGUAGGGAAGAAGCGAAAGUGACGGUACCUGCAGAAGAAGCGCCGGCUAACUACGUGCCAGCAGCCGCGGUAAUACGUAGGGCGCAAGCGUUAUCCGGAUUUAUUGGGCGUAAAGAGCUCGUAGGCGGUUUGUCGCGUCUGCCGUGAAAGUCCGAGGCUCAACCUCGGAUCUGCGGUGGGUACGGGCAGACUAGAGUGAUGUAGGGGAGACUGGAAUUCCUGAAUGUAGCGGUGAAAUGCGCAGAUAUCAGGAGGAACACCGAUGGCGAAGGCAGGUCUCUGGGCAUUUACUGACGCUGAGGAGCGAAAGCAUGGGGAGCGAACAGGAUUAGAUACCCUGGUAGUCCAUGCCGUAAACGUUGGGCACUAGGUGUGGGGGACAUUCCACGUUUUCCGCGCCGUAGCUAACGCAUUAAGUGCCCCGCCUGGGGAGUACGGCCGCAAGGCUAAAACUCAAAGGAAUUGACGGGGGCCCGCACAAGCGGCGGAGCAUGCGGAUUAAUUCGAUGCAACGCGAAGAACCUUACCAAGGCUUGACAUGUGCCAGACCGCCUCAGAGAUGGGGUUUCCCUUCGGGGCUGGUUCACAGGUGGUGCAUGGUUGUCGUCAGCUCGUGUCGUGAGAUGUUGGGUUAAGUCCCGCAACGAGCGCAACCCUCGUUCCAUGUUGCCAGCACGUAGUGGUGGGGACUCAUGGGAGACUGCCGGGGUCAACUCGGAGGAAGGUGGGGAUGACGUCAAAUCAUCAUGCCCCUUAUGUCUUGGGCUUCACGCAUGCUACAAUGGCCGGUACAAUGGGUUGCGAUACUGUGAGGUGGAGCUAAUCCCUAAAAGCCGGUCUCAGUUCGGAUUGGGGUCUGCAACUCGACCCCAUGAAGUCGGAGUCGGUAGUAAUCGCAGAUCAGCAACGCUGCGGUGAAUACGUUCCCGGGCCUUGUACACACCGCCCGUCAAGUCACGAAAGUUGGUAACACCCGAAGCCGAUGGCCUAACCACCUUGUGUGGGGGGA
rnacentral:rRNA from 1 species